rnacentral:rRNA from 1 species
GUCGAGGGGCAGCGGGAUUGAAGCUUGCUUCAAUUGCCGGCGACCGGCGCACGGGUGAGUAACGCGUAUCCAACCUUCCGUACACUCAGGGAUAGCCUUUCGAAAGAAAGAUUAAUACCUGAUGGUAUGAUGAGAUUGCAUGAUAGCAUCAUUAAAGAUUUAUCGGUGUACGAUGGGGAUGCGUUCCAUUAGGUAGUAGGCGGGGUAACGGCCCACCUGGCCGACGAUGGAUAGGGGUUCUGAGAGGAAGGUCCCCCACAUUGGAACUGAGACACGGUCCAAACUCCUACGGGAGGCAGCAGUGAGGAAUAUUGGUCAAUGGACGAGAGUCUGAACCAGCCAAGUAGCGUGAAGGAUGAAGGUCCUACGGAUUGUAAACUUCUUUUAUAAGGGAAUAAAACCUCCCACGUGUGGGAACUUGUAUGUACCUUAUGAAUAAGCAUCGGCUAACUCCGUGCCAGCAGCCGCGGUAAUACGGAGGAUGCGAGCGUUAUCCGGAUUUAUUGGGUUUAAAGGGAGCGCAGACGGGUCGUUAAGUCAGCUGUGAAAGUUUGGGGCUCAACCUUAAAAUUGCAGUUGAUACUGGCGUCCUUGAGUGCGGUUGAGGUGUGCGGAAUUCGUGGUGUAGCGGUGAAAUGCUUAGAUAUCACGAAGAACUCCGAUUGCGAAGGCAGCACACUAA